rnacentral:rRNA from 1 species
AACGAACGCUGGCGGCAUGCCUAACACAUGCAAGUCGAACGAGACCUUCGGGUCUAGUGGCGCACGGGUGCGUAACGCGUGGGAACCUGCCCUUAGGUUCGGAAUAACUCCCCGAAAGGGGUGCUAAUACCGGAUAAUGUCUUCGGACCAAAGAUUUAUCGCCUUUGGAUGGGCCCGCGUUGGAUUAGCUAGUUGGUAGGGUAAAAGCCUACCAAGGCGACGAUCCAUAGCUGGUCUGAGAGGAUGAUCAGCCACACUGGGACUGAGACACGGCCCAGACUCCUACGGGAGGCAGCAGUGGGGAAUAUUGGACGAUGGGCGAAAGCCUGAUCCAGCAAUGCCGCGUGAGUGAUGAAGGCCUUAGGGUUGUAAAGCCCUUUUACCCGGGAUGAUAAUGACAGUACCGGGAGAAUAGGCCCCGGCUAACUCCGUG